GACGCGAGUUCUAUCGGGU
rnacentral:snRNA from 1 species